UACGUAGGUGACAAGCGUUGUCCGGAUUUACUGGGCGUAAAGAGCGCGCAGGCGGUCGAUCAAGUCGAGUGUGAAAGCCCCCGGCUCAACUGGGGAGGGUCAUUCGAUACUGAUCGACUCGAAGGCAGGAGAGGGUAGUGGAAUUCCCGGUGUAGUGGUGAAAAUGCGUAGAUAUCGGGAGGAACACCAGUGGCGAAGGCGACUACCUGGCCUGUUCUUGACGCUGAGGCGCGAAAGCUAGGGGAGCAAACGGG
rnacentral:rRNA from 1 species